CUCCGCUCCGGCCCGCGCGCUCCUCCCGCCACCGCCCGCCCGCGAUUGGCUCGCUCCAGCGACGCUUUUCUUCCCUCUUUCCUGUUUCCUUGCAAUAUAAAAGGCCCAGAUGAUGUGGCAGUGACGUGGGCGCCGGCUCAGUUGGUCCAUCUGGAGCCGGCGGUGGUGGCGAAGCACCUGAAACCACCGGCGGAAAAGCACCUUCAAGUGCCCUCGGACCCACACACCCCUCAAGAAGGCUCCCAGGAAAGGAAGCGUCUACAAGGGGCCUGUUUCUGAGCUCUUGAUCUUUAGAACAGGACCUCAGGCUUUGUGCUAAACUGAGGACCCAGGUGCCAACUACCAGAAGCAGCAGCUUCUCAAGUCCUUCUUCUCAGGGAUGGAGAUGUUGAGAGGGGCCCGUGGGCUGCCUUAUGGCAAUGGUAAAAAACCAUGAACCUUUCUGGAAAGGUAACUUAGCAGCAGGCCUCAAGAGUCUUGAAGGAGUGUGUGUGCUAAGAAAAGCACAGAGAAGCUGACCUGAAACAUUUCUAUCACAUGCACACAGCAUCUGGAUGUCUACCAUACACAGAUAAAAUAGCAGCCAAUCGGGAGCAUUCUGGAUGUUCCAAAGCAGAAAAAUUAUGGUAUCUCAAGAGGGGGGCUGCUUCCAAAGAUGUGUUCAGACUGCUGAAGCAUAAACAAAACCCUACAGAAUCUCAAAUAUAUAAAAUAUUUGUAUUCUGCAUUGUAAAAUCGAAGUAUUUCUGCAUAAUAGAUUGCAUGGAUAAAUAAAACCAGCUCCUACCCCUUGCCCGUAGGUGUUAGUAGAGGAUGUAGGUGACUUUCAUUUCUUGUGUUUUAAAAUAUUUUUAAAGUUUUCUACAGUAGCUGUGUUUUUGUAAUCAGGAAAAGAAUUAAAAGUAAAAGUGACUUGUACAAUUA